rnacentral:rRNA from 1 species
AUUGAACGCUGGCGGAAUGCUUUACACAUGCAAGUCGAACGGCAGCACGGGGGCAACCCUGGUGGCGAGUGGCGAACGGGUGAGUAAUACAUCGGAACGUGCCCAGUCGUGGGGGAUAACGUAGCGAAAGUUACGCUAAUACCGCAUACGAUCUACGGAUGAAAGCGGGGGACCGUAAGGCCUCGCGCGAUUGGAGCGGCCGAUGUCAGAUUAGGUAGUUGGUGAGGUAAAGGCUCACCAAGCCGACGAUCUGUAGCUGGUCUGAGAGGACGACCAGCCACACUGGGACUGAGACCCGGCCCAGACUCCUACGGGAGUCAGCAGUGGGGAAUUUUGGACAAUGGGCGCAAGCCUGAUCCAGCCAUUCCGCGUGCAGGACGAAGGCCUUCGGGUUGUAAACUGCUUUUGUACGGAACGAAAAGGCUCUGGUUAAUACCUGGGGCUCAUGACGGUACCGUAAGAAUAAGCACCGGCUAACUACGUGCCAGCAGCCGCCGUAA